rnacentral:rRNA from 1 species
UACGGAGGGAGCUAGCGUUGUUCGGAAUUACUGGGCGUGAAGCGCGCGUAGGCGGCGACUCAAGUCAGAGGUGAAAGCCCGGGGCUCAACCCCGGAACUGCCUUUGAAACUAGGUUGCUAGAAUCUUGGAGAGGUCAGUGGAAUUCCGAGUGUAGAGGUGAAAUUCGUAGAUAUUCGGGAGAACACCAGUGGCGAAGGCGACUGACUGGACAAGUAUUGACGCUGAGGUGCGAAAGCGUGGGGAGCAAACAGG